GUUGCGCGGCGCUGGCGGGCGGGGACACCAACGGGGAGUGGAUACUCCGAGGCUCAACCUGGGGCCUCUGCCCGCCCUCCCCUGGGUGCGGAGCCGGACGGCGGGCACUGGCAACCCCCGGGCCCCUGGAGAGCCCCGCGGCGGCCCAAGACCCGCUCCCGAGACACGUGGGCCCCUCCGGACUUGGUUGGUCCCUGGAGCCAGCUGCGCGCGUCCUCUCCGGCCUCCUUGUCGGCGCUGGAGUGGGUCCACGUCUGCCUUGCGGAGCGCGGUGGUUCCACGCUCCUGAGCGCCCACGCUGCGCAGACCUGGCCGCUCUGCGAGGCGACGGCAGCGCACUGAAGACCGUGGUGUUUCCCAAGCCCUCCCUGCUCUCGGGCCUCCAGGGCGCAGCAGGGGAGGGUUUUGUCCCCGUGGCCAAAGCUCUGCAGGUCGAACCUUAUCUGCUAUGGGAAGGCCCCGCAUUUUCAGAUUCACGCAGGGCCCUCUGCAGACUGUUGGCAGAAAAAAGGUAGCCACCAAACACAUGCAUAAGCUGGACUUUUCCCAGAAUGCUGCAGCAGAACUACCCUCCAGAUAGACACUAGCCUGCGGGCCACAGUGCUACGUGAGUCUUGCAAAGAGGAGAUCUUUAUGGCGAGGCUGAGAGCACUGCCUGCAUGCUUUACCAGAGCCCAGCCUCCAGCCUCCACGGAAAAUGUGUUUUGGAAUCAACACUCUUUGCAAAGGCUCCACACUGCUUUCUGGUAGCAUUGGCCUGGGCGCCCAGGCACUCCUUUAGAACCCACCUGUUCCCCCCACCCACCCUAGUGGGAGGAGGAGAGGGUUACACUGACAGAUACCGGCAGCUCUGCAACCCGGGAACAACGCAGACAACAUACAACUCGACAGAGUCACAGAAGGUGGCGUCCAUCGCGCCUGGAUGGUGACUACUGCCCUGCGGGCUGCUGGGUGGGUGAAACACACAGGGAAGAAGCACAAAUACACACACAGAUGUGGCUCAGGGACAUUUGAAUGCUUCAGUGUGUGAAUUUUUUAGCGCAUUCUGACUCGAAAUUAUGGCUGAAUAGUGGCGCACUAAUGUCCAAGUCCAUGUUCGAUAAUGGCAGGAAGUCUGCACUAAUUGGUCUAUUUAGUAGUUGCUGAGGUGGCAAAAGCUGCAGCUGCUGGUGGCUGAAAGAGAGAGAGAGAGAGAGAGACCUCCUCUUAGGCCACUUCCCAGAGCUGUGGCAGUGGGGGAGGGGGAAUUCCCCAGGAUGGUGUUUGUGGUCAAGUUCACCUCUGGCAACCCUGCCUAAGCUCUUCUCACAGGUGCACGCAUUCAAGUCCUGAAGAGCCCUCCCCGCCCCCAACAGUGUUCAUGUCCCGGGCUGGGGGCCCGCCUGGGAGGGGCUCUAUAUGCCGGUGGGACCUGGCUGCUUUGCCUCGCAUUCUCCCCACUCUUCCCCUUCCCAGGGCAGCUUUUCUCCCCGCACCCCAUCUCUCUCCCCUUUGCUUUCUAACUGGGUUGGGAAGCUAAUCUGCCAAGAGCCCGCUGCUUAGCCGGUGCGGUGGCAUGUGCCUGUGGUCCCAGCUACUUGGGAGGCUGGAACAGGAGAAUCGCCUGAGCCCAGGGGUAGAGGUGAGGCUGCAGUGAGCUAGGAUUGCACCAUGGCGCUCCAGCCUGGGCCACAGAGCAAGACUGUCUGAAAAAAAGAACCUGCUGCCCACCUCACCAUUUGAACUGGGAAUAUUUUACCAGAGAGAAUGUGGACAUGGAGAAGCCACCGUCACACACAGAGUAAGGGUGUGUGGGGUGGGGGCAGAUUUAAGAUGGACUCUGGACAGUUCCCGAGCCACUAGAGUGCCCAUCCCUGCCAGGAGGCCCCAGAUGCUCAGGGGUUUCAGCGGCCUUCUGCAGCCUCAGCCAGUGCUUACACCACACCUGGGAGCAGCAUGGGCCGCCCUCUGCCUCACCGAGGGGCAAACCGGCUGAGGACCCAGGCACGAAGAGUGUCACCAGCUCUGACCACAAGCCCCGUAGACCAGGGCUGCGUCCAUAAUCGGGGUUGAUGGCAUUAGUUAUUAUAUUAUAACCUCCUUGUUGCGUGAUUCUAGUAAUUUAUUUUCCCACUUGGCCUUUGACUGGGCUGGGCUCCUCCCAGUGGAACAACAGGGGGUGUCGUGUUUGCAGCAGAAACGCACACUGGGAUCCUUUCUUGCAACAGCUGGGCCGGCUGGGUCUUUUCUCUUGUCUUCUGUACACAGGCCCCUCUCCGCUGUUUCUGCAGAGACCGAGGUGGGAGGGAGAAAGACCCUCCAGCCCUCUGCUCCCACCCUCCCCGCAGUCUCCGGGGCCCUGUGCUGCAGGCAAGAUAAUUUGGCUAAUGAACUCGUUAAAGGGCCCCUGGUGACCCGCCCCGGCUUCCCCUCGGCCCAUCUGGGAAAUUCCAUUGAAAGGCUGGAGAAGGUUCCUCAGCCCCGCCGCCUUCUGUCGCUGCUAGAGGCGCGAACCCGGUGACUCUGGGCCCCUUACAUUAAAAUAAUUACCCGGCGGAACAGACGGUCCCGGGGCACCCAGGCCUCCGCGGCCGAGCGGGCUGAGGCCUAAGCAGGGAGGCCGUCGCCUUCAGGCACAGGUAAGCGCAGCCCGCGCACCGCUUGGGACGCACCUGGCCACCUGCGCUGCCACCCAAGCUUGGGGUAUGCGGGUGCCCGAGCAGAACCCCGAACUCGCACCGGGCUCCGAGGUUGGAGCAACUCCUAACACUGGGCUCGGAGCUAGGGGCUUGCUGGAGGGGCGCUUGCCGCGCCGGCCCUCGGGGCUCACAGCCGGGCACGCCGGACUGCGGCGAGCGCGUGGGCGAGCGUGUCAGGAGCGUGCGCCCUGGGUGCGCGCGUGCGAGAGCGCACGUGUAGGGUGGCUUCCAGUCCUCCCUUCCCGCCUGAGAAGCGUCCACGCGGAGUUCCAGGCCGGGCGCUGGGGAAGGAGGUCCCGGGGACGCUGCUGAAAAGAGAGCGGCCAGCCCAGGCGCGGGGCCAAGCCUAUUGCCAAAAACAUAUUACCCUGCGACAUUCUGUAAAUGAGAUAAUGAUCCAUAAACCCGGAUGAUAGAUGUGGCGUGCCUGCGAUGUCUUCUCUAAAUGAGCUGCUCGCAUCGACUGCUAAUAAUGAUACUGAAGAUUUUACAGCGGGGAAUGGACAUGGUCAGACUCACAUCUAACAAAAGCCGGAAGAUGAUUCUGGAAGACACCGCCGUGGCAAUUUGGCCAGGAGGUUCCAGAGAUGGUGGUCUCAAAGGGGAGCAGUAGGAGCAAAUGGGACCAGGAGGAUUUUUCUCUUUUUUCUGGGAGAGGUAUUUUUAAGGAUGUAGAACUUAUUUUCUGACAGAAAAGUAAACAAAAUAUGGUGGCAGUAUAACUGGAAAAUGCAGUAAAAGACAUUUGCGUUAUUAGGGAAAUACAACUCAAAACCACAGUGAGACACCACUUCACACCCACGAGGAUGGCUAUUAUCAAAAUCAUGGGUAAUAACAAGUGUUGGCAAGAUGUGGAAAAACUGGACCCUCGUACACUGCUGGCGGGAACAUAAAAUGGUGUAGCCACUUUGGAAGCAGUUUGGCAGUUUCUCAAAAACUUAAACAUAGGCCGGGCGUGGUGGCUCAUGCCUAUAAUCCUAGCACUUUGGGAGGCCAAGGUGGAAGAAUCACUUGAGCCCAGGAGUUCAAGACCAGCCUGGGCAACAUAGAGAGAUCCUGACUCUACAAAAAAAAUUAAAAAUUAGCCAGAUGUGGUGGUGCAUACCUGUAGUCCUAGCUAAUCGGGAGGCUGAGGUGGGAGGAUCUCUUGAGUCCAGGGAGUUGAGGUUGCAAUGAGCCAUUAUCGUGCUGCUGCACUCCAGCCUGGGUAACAGACUGAGACCCUGCCUUAAAAAAAGUUUUUUUUAAUUAAAAAAAAAAAGAAAAAAGUUGGCUGGGCGUGGUGGCUCACGCCUGUAAUCCCAGCACUUUGGGAGGCUGAGGCAGGCGGAUCACGAGGUCAGGAGAUCGAGACCAUCCUGGCAAACACAGUGAAACCCCAUCUCUACUAAAAAUACAAAAAAUUAGCCAGGCGUGGUGGCAGGCGGCUGUAGUCCCAGCUACUUGGGAGGCUGAGGCAGGAGAAUGGCGUGAACCUGGGAGGAGGAGCUUGCAGUGAACCGAGAUUGCGCCACUACACUCCAGCCUGGGUGACAGAGCGAGACUCCGUCUCAAAAAAAAAAAAAAAAAAGGUUAAACAGGGCUGGGUGCAGUGGCUCACGCCUGUAAUCCCAGCACUUUGUGAAGCCAAGGUGGGCGGAUCACUUGAGGUCAGGAGUUCGAGACCAGCCUGGCCACCAUGGCAAAACCCCAUCUCUACUACAAAUACAAAAAUUAGCCGUGCGUGGUGGUGCACACCUGUAAUCCCAGCUACUCAUGAGGCUGAGUCAGGAGAACUGCUUGAACCUGGGAGGUGGAGGUUGUAGUGAGCUGAGAUUGCGCCACUGCACUCCAGCCUGGGUGACGGAGCAAGACUGUUUCAAAAAAACAAAAAAAAGUUAAACAUAAAGUUGCCAUAUGGCCACUCCUAGGUAUAUACCCAGGAAGAAUGAACACAUAUGUUCACCCAAAAGCUUGUUCAUAAAUGUUCACAAUAGCAUUAUUUAUAGAAUAACCAAAAACUGGAGACAACCCAAAUAUCCAGCAACUGAUGAAUGGAUAAACAAAAUGUGGAAUAUCCAUGCAGUGGAAGACUAUUCAGCAAUGAAAAGGAACGAAGGAUUGAUACAUGCUACAACACGGAUAAACCUUGAAAACAUCCUGCCAAGCAAAAGACACCCGUCACUAAAGACCACCUAUUACAUGAUGCCAUUUAUAAGAAAUGUUCCUAAUAGGCAAAUCUACAGAGACAAUAAAUAGAUUCGUGGUUGUCUAGGACGGGAGGGUGAUGAUGUAUUAGGGAGAAAUGGAGAAUGACUGCCAUGGGCAAAGGGCUGCUUUUUGGUGUGAUAAAAAAGUUCUAAAAUUGGUUGUGGUGAUGGUUGGCCAACUCUGACUAUACUAAAAAACACUGAAUUGUACAGUUUAAAUGGAUGGUAUAUGAAUUACAUCUCAGUAAAAUAGCUUAAAAAUACACUUAUGAUUUUAUGAUUAUGUGAUUCCCUUUGGAGCCAGACAGUAUGAUUGGACCUAUAAAAAGGAAAUGUGAUCCUUGGCUUCCAAAGCUUUGCUGCUCAAAAGUAGACUCUUCCAAACACCAAGGUCUAGGUGACUCUCUUUUAAUUAAUUUUUUCUAGCUUUGCACUUUUUGUCUAAUAGACUUGUGCUUUGCUUUGUUUAUAUUUUUGUUUUUCAAGUUUUAUAAUAAUGUGUGUGCUUGUACAUUCUCCUUGUAAAAUUUAAAAUAUUGUUGAAAGGUCUGAAGUCACUUUGAUCAUUCCCUCUGCUCCCAAUACCCCCAACUUCCUCCUACCAUGCCUGUGUAUACUCACAGACCUUUACAUUUGAAUUUUCCUAAAUCUUCAUGUAUCUAUAAUAGUAUAUAAGAUUUUGCAUCUGUGUAUGUGUGUGUUUAGCAUAAACAGUAUUCCCUGUCAUGCUGCAACUUGUCCUGUGCACUCAGCGAUGUCCGUGUUGGUCUCUCCUUGUUGGUCGCAUUCUUCUCAGCUGCUGCUUAGUUUUCCAUGAUGUAUCAAGGCCAUAGUUCCUCCAAUCAUUCCACUAUGGCAGAUAUUUAGUUGCCCCAGAAUCCUGUAUUUCAUGCUUUUCUCUUUGUGAAUUCCUUUUUCAUUUUGCUGGAGCACCACCUUGAGUAAUUUUUUCAAGUCUUGUGUGGCGUGUUGAUAUCCUUUUUUUGACCUCACAGGUGGCCAUUUGUUCAUGUGCUAUAGAAUUCUAGGUUCAGCAACUUUUCCCUCUAAGUUUUGGACACUUCGUUUCAUUGUAUUAUUAUAUAUUAUCACCAAGAAGCAAUCUGAGGAGUCUUGUCACUUUAUACGUACCUUCUCCUCUCCUCCCAGAAGCUCUUAGGAUUUUUUGUUUUUUAAUUUUUGGAAUUCUGAAAUUUCAUCAGAGUGUGUCUAGGUUUGAGAGCAUUUUUUAAAUUAAUUCUGCUGGUAUUCUCUAGGUCUUUGUCAUCCAAUAAUAUGACUUUCUUCUGCUCAGAGAAAUUGUCUUCUAUUAUUUCUUUCAUGUUUUCUUUUAUUUCUUUGAUAUUUUCUUUCCUUCUGUAGUCUCUUUUCUG
rnacentral:lncRNA from 1 species